rnacentral:rRNA from 1 species
AUGAACACAUCCACUUUGGACAUGAGUUCUUCGUCAUCUUCAUCUGGCGACGAUGAACUCAUACUUGCAGCAUUCGCCGAGCGCGAGGAGGAAGAGAGGAUGAACGCUCGAUGCCAUGGCGGUUCCAAGCAUGGACGUCAAACAAUCAAUCGAGGAAGAGAUGCCGGAUUUGUUCUUCUGUGGGACGACUACUUCAAAGAAGUUCCUCGCUAUCCCGAACAUUUGUUUCGACGAAGAUUUAGGAUGUCCCGUAAUUUGUUCAAACGCAUAGCCGAUGGUAUACUUGAGCAUGAUUAUGAUGGUUAUUUUACUCAAAAAAGAAGUGCUUCUGGAGCUCUUGGGUUACAUCCUCUGCAAAAGAUGACCGCGGCAAUGCGGAUGCUAACAUAUGGAAUAGCAGCUGAUGGUGCUGAUGAGUACAUCCGGUCCGCUGAGGCUACUAAUUUAGAGUCUUGCAAGAAAUUUGUGAUCAAAGUUUGUGAAGUUUUUGGGGAAAGGUACCUGAGAUCUCCAAAUGAAGAAGACAUUGCUAGGUUACUUGCAAUAGGGGAGGAAAGAGGAUUUCCUGGUAUGUUAGGGAGCAUAGAUUGCAUGCACUGGGGUUGGAAAAAUUGCCCCCAAAAAUGGCAUGGCAUGUUUAAAGGCCAUGUCAGCGAGCCCACUAUGAUCUUGGAAGCAGUUGCUUCACAAGAUCUUUGGAUUUGGCAUGCUUAUUUUGGUUUACCAGGGUCUCUGAAUGAUAUAAAUGUUCUUCAACGUUCUCCUGUUUUUACAAAGCUAGCUGAAGGCCAAACUCCUCCAGUGAAUUAUAGAAUCAAUGGCCAUCAGUACACAAUGGGGUAUUAUCUUGCAGAUGGUAUCUAUCCACGGUGGGCAACAUUUGUGAAGAGCAUACCAGCUCCAGAUACCCGAAAACAUAAAACUUUUGCCAAGAGGCAAGAGGGGGCUAGGAAAGAUGUGGAACGAGCCUUUGGAGUUCUUCAAUCCCGUUUUGCCAUUGUUCGUGGACCUGCUAAAGGAUGGAAACGUAAAGAAAUCGGUGAUGUCAUGAAAGCUUGUGUCAUAAUGCACAAUAUGAUAGUUGAAGAGGAGCGACAAACUGGUCGGCAAAGCUGCACUUUUGAGGCAAUGUGA